rnacentral:rRNA from 1 species
UACAGAGGUCUCAAGCGUUGUUCGGAUUCAUUGGGCGUAAAGGGUGUGUAGGUGGCGCGCUAAGUCGGGUGUGAAAUUUCGGAGCUUAACUCCGAAACUGCAUUCGAUACUGGCGUGCUUGAGGACUGGAGAGGAGACUGGAAUUUACGGUGUAGCAGUGAAAUGCGUAGAUAUCGUAAGGAAGACCAGUGGCGAAGGCGGGUCUCUGGACAGUUCCUGACACUGAGACACGAAGGCCAGGGGGAGCAAAACGGGGAUUAGAAA